GUGCUCACUUCAGCAGCACAUAUCCUAAAAUUGGAAUGAUACAGAGAAGAUUAGCACGACCCCUGCAUGAGGCUGACAAAUUCGUGAAAAAACCCCAAUUUAA